ACCAGAAGUAACUUUCAUGGCGCCAGAGGACCAUUUUCGCUACACAGUUGAUGAGCUCCUCAAAAUGGCCACAGAUACACUCUUCUGUCUCCAAGCCUAAAGUGACCACAGAAUGUAGAGGACUGGGUGUCUGUGGUUCAAGCAGAAGCUCAGCUUCAUCAUCUCCUCUGCCAAAUCUUCCUGCCUUUUGUCAUGCCAAACUGAUGAUGACUCUGUAAGAGAAUUGUGUGAGUAAAGGGUAGAGUUAAGCAAUAUGGCUCUA
rnacentral:lncRNA from 1 species